UACGAAGGGGGCUAGCGUUGCUCGGAAUCACUGGGCGUAAAGCGCACGUAGGCGGAUCUUUAAGUCAGGGGUGAAAUCCCAAGGCUCAACCUUGGAACUGCCUUUGAUACUGGGGAUCUCGAGUCCGGAAGAGGUUGGUGGAACUGCGAGUGUAGAGGUGAAAUUCGUAGAUAUUCGCAAGAACACCAGUGGCGAAGGCGGCCAACUGGUCCGGUACUGACGCUGAGG
rnacentral:rRNA from 1 species